AAUGCCGCGUGAGUGAAGAAGGCCUUCGGGUUGUAAAGCUCUUUUGUCAGGGAAGAAACGGUGAGGGCUAAUAUCUCUUGCUAAUGACGGUACCUGAAGAAUAAGCACCGGCUAACUACGUGCCAGCACCUGCGGUGACUGAGCGGGCUGGCAAGGCGCAUA
rnacentral:rRNA from 1 species